rnacentral:rRNA from 1 species
GACGAACGCUGGCGGCGUGCUUAACACAUGCAAGUCGUACGGUAAGGCCCUUUCGGGGGUACACGAGUGGCGAACGGGUGCGUAACACGUGCGUAACCUGCCCACAACUUUGGGAUAACGCUAGGAAACUGGUGCUAAUACUGGAUAUGUGCUCCUGCUGCAUGGUGGGGGUUGGAAAGCUCCGGCGGUUGUGGUUGGACUCGCGGCCUAUCAGCUUGUUGGUGGGGUAGUGGCCUACCAAGGCGGCGACGGGUAGCCGGCCUGAGAGGGUGACCGGCCACAUUGGGACUGAGAGACGGCCCAGACUCCGACGGGAGGCAGAAGGGGGGAAGAUUGAACAAGGGGCGCAAGCCUGAUGCAGCAACGCCGCGUGCGGUAUGACGGCCUUCGGGUUGUAAACCGCUUUCAGCAGGGACGAAGCUUUUUGUGACGGUACCUGCAGAAGAAGCACCGGCUAACUACGUG